CUCUGUGGGCCCAGGGUGGAAGGUGGACGAGAGAGAGAUAAAGGGCGUGAGCUCACGAUGCUGUACCAGGUGCCCACCCCUCUGUGCCCCCCGAGCCAUUCAUUAUAAACUGCCUUUUCAAGUAUAAACUGGUAGCCUGGUUCUGAUGAAAGCAGGCACGGGGUGUUUUCUUCUUUGAGGGCUGUUGGCAGUCUUUACAGGUUCUACAAGAUUUUAUAACACACACAUCCAGCCUGAGGUGAUGAUGUACAUGCAUGGGCAUUAGAUGACCGCUGAAUAGGUGCAAAAGUGGUGCAGUGGCUAAAGCACUAGACUUGCAACCAUGAGCUUGCAAGUUGGAACCCUGCCAUAGGCCAGAAUGAUGCUGUGGUUUUCUCUCUCAUGAAUAGUCUUGAGAAGAUAACAUAAAAUAGUAGUGAUACAAAAAGAUUUUUAUGCCUAAGACACCAAAAAUUCCAGGUUCAAUCCCAGGUACCAACUAAAGCCAGAGAUAAGCAGUGCUCUAAUUAUGUAAAUAAAUAAGGGCUGCGGUGACGUCAUAAUGGUUAUGCAAAAAGGCCUUCAUGCAUAA